rnacentral:rRNA from 1 species
UACGAAGGGGGCUAGCGUUGUUCGGAAUGACUGGGCGUAAAGGGCGCGUAGGCGGUGCAUUUGGUCCGGCGUGAAAUUCCUGGGCUUAACCUGGGGACUGCGCUUGAGACGGGUGUGCUGGAGGGCAGGAGAGGCUCGCGGAAUUCCCAGUGUAGAGGUGAAAUUCGUAGAUAUUGGGAAGAACACCGGUGGCGAAGGCGGUGAGCUGGCCUGUACCUGACGCUGAGGCGCGACAGCGUGGGGAGCAAACAGG